rnacentral:rRNA from 1 species
CCAAUAGCGUAUAUUAAAGUUGUUGCAGUUAAAAAGCUCGUAGUUGAAUUUCGGGGUUCUACCGUCGGUCGGGCUAACAAGUCUGUACUGGUGUGUAGAAUUUCUACCUUCUGGGGAACCAUCAUGUUAUUAAUUUAGCGUGGUGGGAAACCAGGACCUUUACCUUGAAAAAAUUAGAGUGUUCAAAGCAGGCUUACGUCUGAAUACAUUAGCAUGGAAUAAUAGAAUAGGACGGUGGUCCUGUUUUGUUGGUUUCUGAAUCACCGUAAUGAUUAAUAGGGAUAGUUGGGGGCAUUAGUAUUCAAUUGUCAGAGGUGAAAUUCUUGGAUUUAUUGAAGACUAACUUCUGCGAAAGCAUUUGCCAAGGAUGUUUUCAUUAAUCAAGAACGAAAGUUAGGGGAUCGAAGACGAUCAGAUACCGUCGUAGUCUUAACCAUAAACUAUGCCGACUAGGGAUCGGACGAUGUUAAAUUUUAUUGACUCGUUCGGCGCCUUACG